rnacentral:rRNA from 1 species
CAAUAGCGUAUAUUAAAGUUGUUGCAGUUAAAAAGCUCGUAGUUGGAUUUCUGGUGGGAGCGAUCGGUCUGGCGCUUAGCGAGAGUACUUGCAUCGUCUCCGGCCAUCCUUGGGGAGAGUCUGUCUGGCAUUAAGUUGUCGGGCAGAGGAUCCUCAUCGUUUACUGUGAAAAAAUUAGAGUGUUCAAAGCAGGCUUAUGCCGUUGAAUAUAUUAGCAUGGAAUAAUAAGAUAGGACUUUGGUACUAUUUUGUUGGUUUGCGCACCAAAGUAAUGAUUAAUAGGGACAGUUGGGGGUAUUCGUAUUCCGUUGUCAGAGGUGAAAUUCUUGGAUUUACGGAAGACGAACUACUGCGAAAGCAUUUACCAAGGAUGUUUUCAUUAA